CUGGCCUCAAGCCAUCCUCCCACCUCAGCCUCCCAAAGUGCUGGGAUUACAUGCAUGAGCCACCACAUCCAGCCUACCUAAAAUAUUGAAUGCUGUUAAUAAAUCUCCUGAGGCCAGCAUAAGAAGGUGAUGGGCAAAACUAAUGCAGUAGGAGCUGAAAUCGACCAGGGGGUUCUUAUCCAACAGACAGCAGCAAAACUCUUUGUGUAUCUGCGUUCCUUUCAACAAGUGUGACUUCCUCAAUGGCAUCAUUCGUGAGCGUAACACAGAGCUCAGCAAUAACGUUUCUUCACUAACCCUACCAGAAAUGGUUCACUGUUAGCAGUGGACAAGGCCAUGAACACACACUUAUAACACAGCAACAGAUACAAGAAAGUCUGACUGAGGCUCCAUUACUGCUCCUGUCCCGUUCACCUUAACUUUCAUCUCCACAUGUCAGCGCUUCCUCAUCUUGCUUGACUUGAAGUCAGUGCAUUUCUUCAAGCCAGUAAGUUCUCUAUACUGACUAUUAAGCUGUAAUUCUCACAGGAAAAUUAGAAUGUUCCUUCCCAUUUUCCUAAUUUCUCAACUGAUUUUUCUCAGAAUUCAGAAUCCAUAAAUAUUGAAAUGCCAGGAGAGAAUUUCCAAAUGGAAAUGCUGUUCCCUUCGUCCA
rnacentral:lncRNA from 1 species